rnacentral:rRNA from 1 species
GGAAGGGAUGUAUUUAUUAGAUUAAAAACCAAUGCCCUUCUGGGCUCACUGGUGAUUCAUGAUAACUCCUCGAAUCGCAUGGCCUUGCGCCGGCGAUGGUUCAUUCAAAUUUCUUCCCUAUCAACUUUCGAUGUUUGGGUAUUGGCCAAACAUGGUUGCAACGGGUAACGGAGGGUUAGGGCUCGACCCCGGAGAAGGAGCCUGAGAAACGGCUACUACAUCCAAGGAAGGCAGCAGGCGCGCAAAUUACCCAAUCCCGACACGGGGAGGUAGUGACAAUAAAUACUGAUACAGGGCUCUUUUGGGUCUUGUAAUUGGAAUGAGUACAAUUUAAAUCCCUUAACGAGGAACAAUUGGAGGGCAAGUCUGGUGCCAGCAGCCGCGGUAAUUCCAGCUCCAAUAGCGUAUAUUAAAGUUGUUGUGGUUAAAAAGCUCGUAGUUGAACCUUGGGCCUGGCUGGCCGGUCCGCCUCACCGCGUGUACUGGUCCGGCCGGGCCUUUCCCUCUGUGGAACCCCAUGCCCUUCACUGGGUGUGGCGGGGAACCAGGACUUUUAC